CAACCUCAACUCAUAUGGGACUACCCCCUGAAUUUAAGCAUAUUAAUUAGGGGAGGAAAAGAAACUAACAAGGAUUUUCUUAGUAGCGGCGAGCGAAAAGAAAUCAGUUCAGCACUAAGUCACUUUGUCUAUAUGGCAAAUGUGAGAUGCAGUGUACGGAACAUCAACAUUCUAGUAUGAGAAGUUAACGAUUUAAGUCCUUCUUAAAUGAGGCCAUUUACCCAUAGAGGGUGCCAGGCCCGUAUAACGUUAAUGAUUACUAGAUGGUGUUUCCAAAGAGUCGUGUUGCUUGAUAGUGCAGCACUAAGUGGGUGGUAAACUCCAUCUAAAACUAAAUAUAACCAUGAGACCGAUAGUAAACAAGUACCGUGAGGGAAAGUUGAAAAGAACUCUGAAUAGAGAGUUAAAUAGUACGUGAAACUGCUUAGAGGUUAAGCCCGAUGAACCUGAAUAUCCGUUAUGGAAAAUUCAUCAUUAGAAUUGUAAUAUUUUAAACAAUAUUAUAAUAAUAGUGUGCAUUUUUUCCAUAUAAGGACAUUGUAAUCUAUUAGCAUAAAUAUUUAUCAUAAAAUUAUGUCUGAUUGCUUAUUGAAUUAUAUGCU
rnacentral:ncRNA from 1 species